GCAGCUAAAACAUCCUGCAGAUCUACAUUGGCCUCGCUUUUUGUCCUUGAGGUAGGAGGCAAACUACUCGGCCUUGUUGAAAGGGGUGUAGAAGCUACUGAUAGGGGAGACAUAAAUGGCACAAAUUGUUUUUCUUUGUUGGCACCUACCAUAAUAUUGGGCAUUUCUUCCUUGGCAGCCACUAGCUUUUCUUCAGUCCCAUCCUCAUUUUCCAAAUGAGAUCCCUGAGCUAGAUUUUCAGAGGUUGCAGAGUGAUUUGAUGAUUCACUAUCAAUGCUACGCUGUGCAGAAUCUGGUAUAGGUUCCAUUUCUGGUGCUGAGGCGGCAUUGGCAUUUGGCCGUAAAGACACUUUAGGGACUUCGGGAAAAUCUAAUUCUUCAAAGUCUGAAUCUGAAUCAGGGUCCUUAUUAUGGGAAUGAUCAGGAACAGAGUUCAAUGCUUCAU
rnacentral:misc_RNA from 1 species